GAGCGAAUCUCAAAAGAAUAGUCUCAGUUCAGAUUGUGGGCUGAAACCCGCCCACAUGAAGUAGGAGUUGCUAGUAAUCCCGAAUCAGCAUGUCGGGGUGAAUGCGUUCCCGGGUCUUGUACACACCGCCCGUCACGCCAUGGGAGUUGGGAGUACCCAAAGUCGGCGACCUAACCGCAAGGGAGGAACCGCCUAAGGUAAUACCAAUGACUGGGGUGAAGUCGUAACAAGGUACC
rnacentral:rRNA from 1 species